GCUCGUGUCUUUGGUGGAUGCGAACCGUCUGGUUUUGUUUGGUAGCCUAAAAGCUUGCAUUAAAGGCAAGCAAAAUAAUGCCAUAUGGAAGGAAAUAACUGUUGCAGUGAAUAGUGUUUCCAAUGUUCAUCGGGCUACGGAAGAGGUUUGUUAAUUAAUUUAAUUAAAUAAUAAAUUAAAUGUAACAUUUCUGUUAUCCAGCUUAAAACAUUUCACAUAUAUGCUAUUGUUUGCAUUGCGUUAAAGUUAUUUUAUUCCGAAUAAGGUGAAGAAAAAAUGGUCCGACAUGAAGCUCAACACCAAAAAACGUGUUGCGGCUGUGAAGCGGGCCAAGCAAGAAACGGGAGGAGGCCGGGUGGACCCUAGCCUUGAACUGACGGCAUUUGAGGAGCGAGUGGCUGGUCUCAUCGGGUCUCCCUCCAUUUCGGGCAUAAGUGGCGGAGGAGACACCGAUGCACUCCAGACCAGUCAUGGAGAUGAAAUGCAAGCAGGUUCAUCCAAAAUGGGAACAGAGCCAAGCCCAGUUGAAGAAACGGAAGGGCCGCCGCCGCCGAAGGAGCCGGAACGCGUGUCUGGCCGAAUUGCUGGUUUGCACUCAUCGGUCUUGACUGCAGAGGUCCUGGACAAACAAACAGAGAUAUGCAGGUCAAUGGUGGACAUCAAUAACUCUCUGUUAGCGAUUAAUGAAACAUUGAAACUAAUCAAUGAGAAUUUGAAGAAUAAAUACAUGUGUUUGCUGUACUUUGAUCUCCGUCUUGUUUUUAACCAAAAGAUAAACUUAUUGCUUACCCUUUAAAUAUUAGAAGAGCCGAAUUAAAUCCUCCCUUCGUCGUAGAGCUCGAGCAUGUGGCGCCUGUGGCCAGGGAUCUCUGGGCAUCGGGUCAUCUGGCUGCAGGUCGGCAAAUGGCACCCCAUAUUAUGCAGAACCCCACAUGCUAAAAUAAUAUUGCAGGUCUUUUCUGGGCUGUAGAGCAACGUUCCCCCCGCUGACCCGAUGGACAUCCACCUGCCCUUGAGUAGGCCUAUACAUCGCUCCACUGUUGCCCUUGUGCGCGUGUGAGCGCUGUUGAAGUUGCGCUCCUGAUCCGUGUUCGGAUGAGCCAGAGGAGUUAUCAGGUACUCGUUCAGGGCAUAGCCUUUGUCACCUAGAUGAAUCACAUCAAACUUUUAGUGCGAUGUCUUAAACGUUUUUCGAGAAAAAAAAGUGCGACUGCAGCGUAACUCACCGAGGAGAUGGCUCUGACCAUGUAGUGCGCCCUGAUGUAGACGAUGCCCAACGUUGCUAUUUUGGAAAAUAAAAGAAUCGUGCGUGCCCCCAGGCCAUCGGGCUACCAUGUUCAGGAUUGACAUUCUGGCAUCGCAAAUAAUAUGAACAUUAACUGAAUGGUAGCUUUUGCGGUUGAUGUACGCGUAAUCAUUAAUAGAUGGUGGCUUCAUACGCACAUGGGUACAAUCAACCGCACCAAUCACAUUUGGAAACCUAGCAAUAGCAUAAAAAUCCUGUUUGAUUCCAGUUUGCUGAUCGUUAUUAUAUGGGAAUUUAAUAUAACGUUCGGAGAGGGACAUUAUAGCUGCCAAAACUGCUGGCAUGGUUCGGCUAAUACUUGGCUGGGAAAUACCAGACCUGUCCCCGAUCUCCCGUUGAAAGGUCCCGGUGGCCAAAAACCCCAAGGUAGAGCACACCUGCACUGGCACAGGUAUUGCGUUUGAUCGCCUCGUUUCUCGCCUUAACUGUGGCUCCAAAGCAUUGCAUAGCUCCAUCAGGAGAUGCCUUGGGAGACGAAAACGACUCAAGAGCCAUUCAUCGCUCUCCCUAAAAAAAUCGGCGCGGUCUCGAAAAACUCUCUCUCGUCUUAGACGUGCGUUGAGGUCCUCUAACAGAGCCAGAUCUGCCAUCGCUGAGACUCGACCACCUACUUGGCAAAGCUCCUGUUUAUAUAGACAGCUGAAUAAACAUUUCACCUGUCACAUUCUAAUUAUUUUCAUAGCAAUACUGUUUUUAAUUAGGCCUGACUUGAUUGUAAUUGUUUGAACGGCUGGGCUAAUUCCAAUUUAUUUAGUAAUUAAUACAGAUGUGCAACAUGGGCUACUUGUGCUGCACUAUUCAUCAGUGAAAUACCCGUAUG